rnacentral:pre_miRNA from 1 species
UGUUUUAGGUAUGCUUUGAGAAGCAGAGUGGAGGUCACCGGACGCGUCCGGUGACCUCCACUCUGCUUCUCAAAGCAUACGACUCUUUUA